ensembl:snRNA U6 U6 spliceosomal RNA
AUGGUGAAAAGGGCCCCAUAUAUACUAAAAUUGGGAGAACAGAAAAGAUUAUUGGCAUGGCCCCUGCACAAGGAGGACAUGCAAAUUAAUGAAGCAUUCCGUAUUUUU